rnacentral:miRNA from 15 species
UAGCUGAACUACGAAGCCCGGGUUUUGUGUGUGCCGCGCUGUUUUGAGUACGUAGCACCACAUGAUUCGGCUUGGUAGUACAGGCUCA